UACAGAGGUGGCAAGCGUUGUUCGGAUUUACUGGGCGUAAAGGGCGCGCAGGCGGCUUUGUUUGUCAGGCGUGAAAGCCCCGGGCUUAACCUGGGAACUGCGUUUGAUACGGCAGGGCUAGAGUUCGGGAGAGGAGAGUGGAAUUCCCAGUGUAGAGGUGAAAUUCGUAGAUAUUGGGAAGAACACCGGUGGCGAAGGCGGCUCUCUGGACCGAUACUGACGCUGAGGCGCGAAAGCGUGGGGAGCAAACAGG
rnacentral:rRNA from 1 species